UCGAAGCUUUUGGUCGUGCUCGCUGCCCAGGAGAAAGUGGUAAAAGAAAGUAGGACUCAAAGGAUCCCUAACGCUACUGAAAUGUGCUAGGAGUAAAAAAAAAGAAAGGGGCCGCGUGUCUAUGUGUGCGCGUGUGUGUGCGUCUAUCUCUCGGCCGUUUCCGUUUGCCUAGCUAAAAAUAAAAUUAUAUAAUUUUUAAUAAAAACCCCCCAGCGAAUGCAAAUUGAAAAUCGUAUUAGAAAAUAAAAACAUAAAGGAACCGGAGCCAGCUGAAGAACAUACGGAAUUUCUCCUUUGGUCUUCAUCGUUUAACUUCGAUU